rnacentral:rRNA from 1 species
AGAUUGAACGCUGGCGGCAGGCCUAACACAUGCAAGUCGAGCGGCAGCACGGGUACUUGUACCUGGUGGCGAGCGGCGGACGGGUGAGUAAUGCCUAGGAAUCUGCCUGAUAGUGGGGGAUAACGUUCGGAAACGGACGCUAAUACCGCAUACGUCCUACGGGAGAAAGUGGGGGAUCUUCGGACCUCACGCUAUCAGAUGAGCCUAGGUCGGAUUAGCUAGUUGGUAGGGUAAAGGCCUACCAAGGCUACGAUCCGUAACUGGUCUGAGAGGAUGAUCAGUCACACUGGAACUGAGACACGGUCCAGACUCCUACGGGAGCAGCAGUGGGAAUAUUGGACAAUGGGCGAAAGCCUAGAUCCAGCCAUGCCGCGUGUGUGAAGAGGUCUUCGGAUUGUAAAGCUAACUUUAAGUUGGGAAGGUAAGGGCUAAGUUAACCUAAUUACGUUAGUGUUUUUAGACGUUUACGACAGAAUAAGCAACCGGUCUAACUCGUAGUCGACCAGCACGCCG